GAAUAGGAUGCAGUGAGCCGACAUCAUGCCAUUGCACUCCAGCCUGGGCAAGAGCAAGACUCUGUCUCAAAAAAAAAAAAAAAAAAAGUUUAAAAAAAAAAAUCUCAUACGUGCAUUUUCCCUGGAAGAUCUUGGCAAAAUGCCCAUCUACCUGGUCUUUUAAACAUAAUUUGGUGCUGAAGGACACACUGCUAGGACCCAAGUUCCCUCCCACAUGGAGAGGAUGGAGGCGUGAAGUAUAUGUGGCCUCAGCCUGUGGCUAUGACCAUGGGCACAUACACAUUUUUCUGGCAGGGCCAGCCUUGACUGCUGAGGGGUCAUGGGCACAAAUGAGGACCAUCUGGUGACACUGAGGACCAGUGUUGCCCACAGAUAGGGAGAAUAAGGAUGAAGAAUAAAGUGUUCUCACACCCCUCCGCAUGAGCUCAAGAAAGAGGGCAAGCCUAGCCCUAAACAGGUCUGUCAGUAAUUCUGGGUCCUGAUAGGCAAACACAUCCAGCCAGAGGCCCCUGGGUCCUUCAGGCCUCUCCUGUGGGUUCCAGAUAAAACUGCUGGGAAAACUGGGCUGACUGCUCCACCUCGCCAGGCCUGGGCCCUCUCCAUCUGCACCCCUAACAGCCACCCAGUGAUACACACAGCAGGCUUCCUAAGCAAUGGGACGCACUAGAGGGGUGGUGGUGGUGGUGUAUGCUCCCUUUGGAGCCAUCUAGAAAUUAGAAAACAGAUUUGUCUCAGAGCUGAAGACAGACCCUAUUCCAAGCAUGAAUGGCCUUGACAAUGCUCCUGCCCAGUGAGCGACCCUUGGCCCCUCAGAACACUGCAGCCCGCCUUCACUCCAUCAGCAGAUCAUGACCAGGAGCACGGCAGGCUCCCCAGCUGCUGUGUCUGCUCCAGGGCCCUCGCUUCGCCCACUCUGGUUGCCUUCCCCUUCCCAGCCCCCAUCAUGGCAUUCUGUGCCUCAAGCUCCCUGACUGGAGCCCUGCACAUGAAUCCAAUGCAAACUUCUAACUCCGCGCUCCCUCACGCCCUCUUCCUCACCCUUCCCAUUCCCAUGCCCCAUGGCCUGCUGUCUGCUCCGAGGUGCGAGGUGUGUGUGAAUUUGGCAGGU